rnacentral:misc_RNA from 1 species
CGAAGCUCUCAUCGAGUGGAGCAUGUCGGUACUCUCGGAAUUUUCAUGGGGUUCCCAAUUUGGGAGAAAAUUAUCUCAAAAAUCAAAAUGGGCUAAAAUUGGACAAUACGCUCAAUGAAAAUUUGUAAUCUUGGUGUCUAUGAAAAACUCUUGACUAGAGGUGUUUGGGACAAGACUCGGUCCGAUUGGUGGUCUGAUCGGCCGAAUUCGGCAUUGGAAGUUGAAAAGUCAUGUGCGCAAAGGGGAGGACUUUGGAGCGAUUUUUUGGCCACCUGGGACAUCAGCCAAUGGCGGGGAGGCUUGGGGGAGAUGCGCUGGUGACUGGGGAAAGGAGGGGCGGUGGCUGGCCAGCGAGGAGGAAGAGAGAGGAGAGAGAAAAUGAGAGGAGAAGGAGGCUGAUUGGGUGAUGCACGAGGGAGGAGAGAAAGAAGAAAAAGAGGACCAGUCUGAUUCGAUCGGUCCGAUCAGAUCCGGCUCGAUUCGGCCGGUUCGAUUUAGAAUACAUAAAAUUAAAUUUUU